rnacentral:rRNA from 1 species
GAUGAACGCUAGCGGCAGGCCUAAUACAUGCAAGUCGAGGGCAGCACGGUAGCAAUACUGGUGGCGACCGGCGCACGGGUGCGUAACACGUAUACAAUCUGCCCUUAACAGGGGGAGUAGCCCGGACGGAAAGUACCGGAUUAAGUUACCCCACAAUACAAUGGAAUUGGGCAUCAAUUCUAUUUAAAAGGCUCCGGCGGUUAAAGGGAUGAGUAUGCGUCUGAUUAGCUAGUUGGUGAGGUAACGGCUCACCAAGGCGACGAUCAGUAGGGGAUCUGAGAGGAUUAACCCCACACGGAUACUGAGACACGGAUCCGACUCCUACGGGAGGCAGCAGUAAGGAAUAUUGGACAAUGCCGCAAGGGUGAUCCAGCCAUGCCGCGUGCAGGAAGACGGCCCUAUGGGUUGUAAACUGCUUUUGUACCGGAGAAAACCUCCCUACGUGUAGGGAGCUGAUAGUAUGGUAAGAAUAAGCAUCGGCUAACUUCGUGCCAGCAGCCGCGGUAAGACGAAGGAUGCAAGCGUUAUCCGGAUUCAUUGGGUUUAAAGGAGAGCGUAGGUGGUCUUAUAAGUCAGUGGUGAAAUCUCGCAGCUUAACUGCGAAAUUGCCAUUGAUACUGUAGGACUUGAGUACAGUUGCCGUUGGCGGAAUAUGACAUGUAGUGGUGAAUACAUAGAGAUGUCAUAGAACACCGAUUGCGAAGGCAGCUAACGAAACUGUAACUGACACUGAGGCUCGAAAGUGCGGGGAUCAAACAGGAUUAGAUACCCUGGUAG